GUGUUCAAGAGCAGAUUAUUUGAUGUGGACAGUUAAGCAAAGUCAAAGCUGAAAACUUUACAUCUACGUAGUAAAGAUUUGAGGAGUUUUCAGAGCAGUUGGUCAUCAAAUUGGUGUCUGGUUCUAAGAGUCUGCCACGGAAGAUGUACUGUUCAUGCAG